rnacentral:rRNA from 1 species
CGGCGGACGGGUGAGUAACGCGUGGAUAACCUACCUAUAAGACUGGGAUAACUUCGGGAAACCGGAGCUAAUACCGGAUAAUAUAUUGAACCGCAUGGUUCAAUAGUGAAAGACGGUUUUGCUGUCACUUAUAGAUGGAUCCGCGCCGCAUUAGCUAGUUGGUAAGGUAACGGCUUACCAAGGCAACGAUGCGUAGCCGACCUGAGAGGGUGGUCGGCCACACUGGAACUGAGACACGGUCCAG